rnacentral:rRNA from 1 species
CGGAGCUUGCUCCACCGGAAAAAGAAGAGUGGCGAACGGGUGAGUAACACGUGGGUAACCUGCCCAUCAGAAGGGGAUAACACUUGGAAACAGGUGCUAAUACCGUAUAACAAUCGAAACCGCAUGGUUUUGAUUUGAAAGGCGCUUUCGGGUGUCGCUGAUGGAUGGACCCGCGGUGCAUUAGCUAGUUGGUGAGGUAACGGCUCACCAAGGCCACGAUGCAUAGCCGACCUGAGAGGGUGAUCGGCCACAUUGGGACUGAGACACGGCCCAAACUCCUACGGGAGGCAGCAGUAGGGAAUCUUCGGCAAUGGACGAAAGUCUGACCGAGCAACGCCGCGUGAGUGAAGAAGGUUUUCGGAUCGUAAAACUCUGUUGUUAGAGAAGAACAAGGAUGAGAGUAACUGUUCAUCCCUUGACGGUAUCUAACCAGAAAGCCACGGCUAACUACGUGCCAGCAGCCGCGGUAAUACGUAGGUGGCAAGCGUUGUCCGGAUUUAUUGGGCGUAAAGCGAGCGCAGGCGGUUUCUUAA